rnacentral:rRNA from 1 species
GCUGGCGGCGUGCCUAACACAUGCAAGUCGAACGAGAAAGUGGAGCAAUCCAUGAGUACAGUGGCGUACGGGUGAGUAACACGUGACUAACCUACCUCCGAGUGGGGAAUAACCCCGGGAAACCGGGGCUAACACCGCAUAACACCGCAAGGUCAAAUGCGCAAGCAGCUUGGAGAGGGGUCGCGGUUGAUUAGCUAGUUGGUGAGGUAAUGGCUCACCAAGGCGAUGAUCAAUAGCCGGCCUGAGAGGGCGCACGGCCACACUGGAACUGAAACACGGUCCAGACUCCUACGGGAGGCAGCAGUGGGGAAUUUUGCGCAAUGGGGGAAACCCUGACGCAGCAACGCCGCGUGGAGGAUGAAGUCCUUUGGGAUGUAAACUCCUUUCGAUCGGGACGAUAAUGACGGUACCGGAAGAAGAAGCCCCGGCUAACUCUGUGCCAGCAGCCGCGGUAAUACAGAGGGGGCAAGCGUUGUUCGGAAUUAUUGGGCGUAAAGGGCGCGUANGCGGUGCGGUAAGUCACCUGUGAAAUCUCUGGGCUCAACUCAGAGUCUGCAGGCGAAACUGCCGUGCUUGA